GAUGAACGCUGGCGGCGUGCUUAACACAUGCAAGUCGAACGAACCUUCGGGUUAGUGGCGGACGGGUGAGUAACGCGUGAGAAUCUGCCCUCAGGAGGGGGACAACAGCUGGAAACGGCUGCUAAUACCCCAUAUGCCGCGAGGUGAAAUGAAUUUCGCCUGAGGAUGAGCUCGCGUCUGAUUAGCUAGUUGGUGUAGGUAAUGGCUCACCAAGGCAUCGAUCAGUAGCUGGUCUGAGAGGAUGAUCAGCCACACUGGGACUGAGACACGGCCCAGACUCCUACGGGAGGCAGCAGUGGGGAAUUUUCCGCAAUGGGCGAAAGCCUGACGGAGCAACGCCGCGUGAGGGAUGAAGGCCUCUGGGCUGUAAACCUCUUUUAUCAAGGAAGAAGAUCUGACGGUACUUGAUGAAUAAGCCACGGCUAGUUCCGUG
rnacentral:rRNA from 1 species